GCCUGGGUGGCUCAGUUGGUUAAGUAUCUGACUUCGGCUCAGGUCAUGAUCUCACAGUUCAUGGGUUCAAGCCCAUGUCAGGCU
rfam:Felis catus isolate Cinnamon breed Abyssinian chromosome C1, whole genome shotgun sequence.